rnacentral:rRNA from 1 species
CCGGAUUUAUUGGGCGUAAAGCGAGCGAGGCCCGUUUGAUAAGUCUGAUGUGAAAGCCUUUGGCUUAACCAAAGAAGUGCAUCGGAAACUGUCAGACUUGAGUGCAGAAGAGGACAGUGGAACUCCAUGUGUAGCGGUGGAAUGCGUAGAUAUAUGGAAGAACACCAGUGGCGAAGGCGGCUGUCUGGUCUGCAACUGACGCUGAGGCUCGAAAGCAUGGGUAGCGAACAGGAUUAGAUACCCUGGUAGUCCAUGCCGUAAACGAUGAGUGCUAGGUGUUGGACAGUGCCGCAGCUAACGCAUUAAGCACUCCGCCUGGGGAGUACGACCGCAAGGUUGAAACUCAAAGGAAUUGACGGGGGCCCGCACAAGCGUGGAGCAUGUGGUUUAAUUCGAAGCUACGCGAAGAACCUUACCAGGUCUUGACAUCCAGGUGGUGCAUGGUCGUCGUCAGCUCGUGUCGUGAGAUGUUGGGUUAAGUCCCGCAACGAGCGCAACCCUUGUUACUAGUUGCCACUCUAGUGAGACUGCCCGGUG